CCCAUCCUUGGUCGCCAGCGCUUCUCCGGCAGCCUCGUCCUGAAAUCGUGCGAUUGUGAGCUAGAAGCCUUCUGGGUCACUCAUAAACCAAAGAGAAAAUAAGGUGCACUCGAGUUUCCCGUCUAAAUAUUUUCCCUGGAGAUGGAAAGGUGCGCUGGCGGCCGGGGAGCCGCGACCUGGGGCGCGCUGGGCCUCGCAGAGCAGCCGCGGACCCCGGCGAUCGUGCCGUGUUCGUCUCCUUUGUGUUUCUUUAUUGAGUCCCUACUACCUCUACGGAUAUUCUGGGGGCAAUUAAAGAAAAUCGCCGCUUCCUAGACAGCACAUAUUUCCCAUAGAAAUGUGGAAUGUAAGAAAGGCACAUAAAGCAAUCCAAGUUGCCUACAGAUAUCCACAGCCUACUUCAGUCCCAGUAAUGCUCUUUUAACCUGGUGCAUCCGUUUAAGGGAAGACAUGAGAUCAUGGGUUUAAGUGAGUCUUCAUCAUGCCAAGACAACGUGAUCAGUUAUUCCCAACCUAUAUAACUCACAUACACUGGAGGAAAUAUCUUCAUGGAAUUAAAACCACAUGGAGUAACAUUUCACGUAAGCAGAAUUCAGGAAUGAUUUCAGUAAUUCCAUCCCAAACACACACAGGCAAAGGGAGUGAAGAUUUCUUCAGCAACAUGGUGGCAGAAAGAUCAUGAAAAGAUCUAGGCCAGUCCAAGCUCACUGCAGUUAAAUCUUCAGUCUCCAGCACUGCACUUGGGAAAGCGUCAAGGAGUUGAAUGUAUAUGUAAUUGGAGUGCCAGAAGAAGAGAACCGAGAGAGAGGGGCAGAACAGCUCAUGAGGGGAAAACCCACUACAUACAAACAAGAAUACUGCAGACUCCUCAUCGGAAUCUAUGCAAGUAAGAAAAAAAUGGCCAGGAACUAUAGAGCUGUUCUUUAAAGUACUUAAAAACAUUUUUGCCAACCUAGAAGUCUUUAACCAGCAAAAUGUCUUCCAAAAAGAAAAAGACUUUUCAGAACAAAUACUGAGCUAAUUCUUUAUUAGCACAUUUGCACUACGUAAGUGUUAAAGAAAAUUUCUUUAGUAAAAGAAAUAUAAUACCAGAAGGAAAAUUUGAUCUAUAAAAAAAGAAAUUAAGAGUCCCAGAAAUAUAUAAAAAUUAUGUAAAAAAUUUUUGUUUUUUCUCCUUAAAAGAUAAUUGAUUAUUUAAAGCAAAAACAAUAAAGUGUUAUAGGAUUUGUGGCACAUGUU